UUAUAAAUAUGGUCCAAAAACAUCAAAUUUAAAAUAUCUUUCAGAAUCUGUGCAUGAUGUUGCCUUUUAAAUGUUAAGAACUGAAUUUAAUAGCUGUUGAAUACACAGCCGCCAUUGGUGUCCUUGGUCACCCUGUUCCACUAAAUGUAGUAUUUUUCAAAAACUAGCCUAUGGCGGUGUCUAAAACAUUUACCAAAAUUUACAAAAUUGUCUACACUAUUAGAAAUCAGAAAGCCUAAAGCUCUAUGACCUCUGGCAUUUUGACAACUUACUUCCGAGUCUCGAAUUUAGAUUUUUGAGAACCCAACAUUUCUGAACGAAAUCAUUGCUCCUUGGUCAAACUGUCAAUCAUCUGCUUUAAAAAUUCUUUAUUAAAAUCAAAAUUUCAUUUUCUUUCCAAAUAUGGGUAUUUUAUUGCAAUUUAGAAGGUGUUAAGUAUAUUUUUUUGGUCUAGAAUGAAUUACCAUUCAUGCUGCUGAAGGUUACACUAUGAAAAUUAACGAAAUAUUACUGAAAAACAAGCCUAUGGCGGUGUCUAUUUCAAGAUGAAUAAUAAACAAAAUUCAAUUGUCUAUUUGUUGAUAAAAGUCGUAAAACAUGAUGACCUCUGGCAUUUACGAGAUUCGGUGUUGAAAACUGCAGACCAUGAUUAUCACCCACAGUUGCGCACAGUUUUCUGUACUGCUUUCGCUGGCAAACGCCAGUGCUCGCAUUUGAUUGGUCUAACGGCGUUUCUUUUGCUAAUUGAGAACACUCUGCAGUUUUAUUUUGGUUUCUGUGUAUUUUGUUGAUUAUUUUGAUUAUUGUUGUUGGAUUUGGUGAUAUUAGGCAAGGUAUUAGGCAUUAUUCAGUCACACACUCACACCAUUCCCGUGGUAUUAUGGUUCAUUGCUGGCAGUGGUUCAGAGACAGUGGUUCGAUCCCAGCUGUAGAACGUCACCUGCAGGAAGUAGCAUUGUGAUGGCCAGCCACGUGGCGCGUCUAUCCAGCCACAUUGUCCAGAAACCAUCACAUCAUCUCCAGGUCACUGGUCGCGGGUGCUUGAGUUGACUGUGUCUUCAACGGCUCCACGGUGACCAGCGCCGCCACCGCCGAGACCAUCCGAUUCCUGAAAUGAUAAUGGCCGUACACGAACAAGAGGCUCUAUGCAUCCAGAUGCAAGUCAAGCGCCAUGCUCAGAGGCGUCAUCCGGAGAAGGCCGCACAGUGCACUUUAGGCUGAGCUCGGGUGUAGUGUGCGCUGACGGAUAGGAUAAAAUUACGGGCCGGCCAUCAGAUUUCAGUGCGGGGAUCAAGAUGGUCGGAGCCGACGUGGCUCGGUUGAUGGUGUGCCAGGGUUAAUUGAGAGUGGAGGCGAGACACCCGGAUCUGUGAAGGAUACGCCAAUACGGGUCUCGACGUCGUCUCGCAAUUUGUGCUAUGUAAUAUGACGGCUAUGCCGUGGUAUCAUUCACUCUCGAUGCGCUAAUAGAUAAUAAAUAGGACAGAGACUGGAAUUAAGAUUAUUAUAUUUGCAUGUAAGGGGCAGGUUUUGGCCAGCGCUAUAUUAGAAAUCGUGAGCGUGCUAGUUGCAAUCAAUCGCGCGCUUCCUGCUGAGCAUCUGUGAGCGAGAAAUUACUUUCUCAGGAACGUUCGUCGUAAAAUAUGUGUAUCUUUGGAAUAAGUUGUCAGAACAUGAAUGAAUUUUUGGUGUCCACUGCAGCUGCUGUUCUGGAACAGAAACCUGCCGAGAUCGGCUGUGUAUGUACUAUGUACGCUGUGGCAAAAUCAAGCAGCCGUACCAUGAAUCAAAAGCGAUAUGUGAAUUAAAGUGGAUAUAUUUCA